UACGUAGGGGGCUAGCGUUGUCCGGAAUCAUUGGGCGUAAAGAGCGCGUAGGCGGCCAGAUAAGUCCGGUGUGAAAGUCAAAGGCUCAACCUUUGAAUGCCGCUGGAAACUGUCUGGCUAGAGUCCGGGAGGGGCGAGUGGAAUUCCUGGUGUAGCGGUGAAAUGCGCAGAUAUCAGGAAGAACACCCGUGGCGAAGGCGGCUCUCUGGAACGCAGCUGACGCUGAGACGCGAAAGCGUGGGGAGCAAACAGG
rnacentral:rRNA from 1 species